CUAGGCUUGCAUUUACACACAAGCUCAAGCAACCUACCCGAACUCUCGGCGGGCCACCGAUUGAGUUCCUAUUUGGUCUUGCUACGAGUGGAGUUUACCUAGCUGCCAAAUGUUACCACUGGCACGGUGCGCUCUUACCGCACCCUUUCACCCUUACCAGCCAAAGCUGGCGGUCUGCUCUCUGUUGCACUAGUCGUAGGCUCGCGCCCCCCGGACGUUAUCCGGCACUCUGCCCUAG
rnacentral:misc_RNA from 1 species